UUUUUCUAUUUUCUUCCUUCUUUCUUUCCCAGUCUUCUCUCUUUUCUCUAAGGCGAAUCGACUGAAAACCAGAAAAAUCAAUCGAUUCUUCUCUGUUUCGCGACCCUCCCUGCCGUUAUCGUCAUCUGGAUAAUUAUCUCCACCGGCGUGACUUUGGGCUGGAGAGAUGGUCACUGGCCUGGAGAAAUCACCAGACCUCUCUUCCUCCUUUGGUAUGUUUCUUCUUCUUCGUUUUUCCUUUCAAUUCUAUCGGUGAAUACUCAAUUACGGGAAACAUUUGGCUCUCGGUAAGCUUUUUGGACCAUAUCCUCCUAAUUUUAAAUGAUAGAAAGGUUGAACGGUUACCUGUUACAAUCAGUUUUUGAUUUUUUUUUUGUAUGUAGAUGAUUGGAAUCGAUGAUUGGUUUGGAACUUGCAGUUGCAGGUUAAAAUUGCAGGGAAUGUUUAGAGGGAUGUAGUAGAAUCACUCAAAGGUAAAUUCUCAAUCUGUUAGCUCACAAAGUUAUAUUAUUACAGAAAUAUAAAAACUUUGCAGAAUGGUCGAAGGAUUGCAGAUGUUUGUUUUGAAGAAAUGGUUUAUGUGAUUAACUCCAAACCUUUUUUAUGAACUGUGAGCCUUAAUUUCAAUUUCAGUUAAUGUUUCAUGUUGUCUUCAGCAAAGUGUAUGUAUGUGGGUUUUGUAUUUUUUUUUGCAGCAAAUUUAUUAGUUUGGAUCCUAUGUAAGUAGUUUCUGCAGCAAAUUUAUUAGUUUGGAUCCUUGUCAUGGAGAUAAUCAUGAAAGUAAUGACGAUGAUGAAGCUUGAGGGAAGUUAUUAUUCUCAAGAAGAAGAAUAAGAAUCAUAUUUGUGUUUGCGGUGUUGUUCAUCAACUGGAGAGUGGUGUUCUGCAAGGUUUUAUAGCAGUGAAGAGUGGUGUUCAUGAAGUGGACACAUUGGAUUGUCUAAUUUGAAAAGAUCCGAGGUUAGAAGGAAAGUACAUGAUCAAGCCAGUGCAGAAACUAGCGGUUGUAGCCAACCUUUGCCUUGCUAGGAACCGAAAGGCGCGUCCAAAGAUGACCAAAGAUGAGUGAAUAUUAAAAGGAUCUUGUUGUCUUGUUGGUGCCAUCUCUAAUGAUACUCUGUAUGUUGCUAAUCUUGGGGACUCUAGAGCUGUUCUUGGGAGUGUUGUUCCAGGAGAUGUUAAUGAUAAAAAAAGUGCGGUAGCAGAAAGGUUAUCUACUGAUCAUAAUGUUGCUGUUGAAGAAGUUAGAAAGGAAGUUAAGGCACUUAACCCUGAUGAUUCACAAAUCGUUAUACACACUCGCGGAGUUUGGAGGAUUAAAGGCAUUAUUCAGAGCUAGUAAGCAGAACAGCUAUGGAUGUCACGAGCUUUGCUCCUCCAUGGGUCAUCUUAAGACACGCUUUCCGGUCAGUAGCAGCUUCUUGUGAACCAAUGAUCCAGAUAUAGUUGCAACUUUAAGGUACAAGUUUUGAAUGGUCUUAUAUUGUUCAUGUUGUUGGGUUAGAAAGAUUGCAGAGAUGAGAUUGACGACAGACAGAUGGGUUUUCGAGGAUGCUAAGACAAAGAAUGUGGAACAUGUCUUGAUCUUGACUGGGGAUCAUCUCUAUCGGAUGGAUUACAUGAACUUUGUGCAGGUUAGACUUAUUCUUCUUAUUUGAAUGAAUAUGUUGUUGUUUGACUUUGGUUUUGCGGACAAGAAGUCAGUGUCAGUUUUGCGGACAAGAAGUCAGUUUCGUGUUGAGGACUUUGGUUUUGCGGACAAGAAGUGACUUUGGCAUUGUUGUUUGAAUGAAUAUGUUGUUGUUUGACUUCAGUUUCAGUUUCAGUUUUUGUUGCAUGAGCUUUUGCGGACAAAAAGUAGACAAAUAUAUUAUGAGUUUAGCGGACAAGGAGACAAAGAUAUAAUGGCAAGGCUCUAUUUAGCAUUUGGUUCAGACUCUGUUUUCUACCAAAAAUCCCAGUUUUUCUUGCUUAAAGUGCAAGCUUUUUCUUCUUCCUCUUUUGUAAAUCAAGUUUUUAAAAAUUCAAAUUAAGAACUUUGAAUUAAAAACUU